ACCUCAGCUCAAGCAAGAAAACCCGCUGAACUUAAGCAUAUCAAUAAGCGGAGGAAAAGAAACUAACAAGGAUUCCCCUAGUAACGGCGAGUGAAGAGGGAAAAGCUCAAAUUUUAAAUCUACCUGGUUCCCAGGUCGAAUUGUAUUUUGAAGAAUCGAUAUCGGUGUUGAGGUCUGGUUCAAGUUCUUUGGAACAAGACAUCAUGGAGGGUGAGAAUCCCGUGCAUGAUCAGACCAAGAUACUUAAUAUUCGUUUUCUAAGAGUCGAGUUGUUUGGGAAUGCAGCUCAAAUUGGGUGGUAGACUUCACCUAAGGCUAAAUAUCAGCGAGAGACCGAUAGCGAACAAGUACUGUGAAGGAAAGAUGAAAAGCACUUUGAAAAGAGAGUUAAAUAGUACGUGAAAUUGUUGAAAGGGAAACGAUUGAAGUCAGUCAUGCUAGUGAAAAUUCAGUUUGACGGGUUUUGGGUUUAGGAGUAAGAGAUAGGGUCAAACCGUCUCUCUUUUAAACUUGGGAUUUGUCGGAUGCACUUUUUCUUUGGCAGGUCAGCGUCGAUUUCGGGGGUUGUAAAAUACUUGGGGGAAAGUAGCUCUGCUUCGGGAGAGUGUUAUAGACCUUGGGAGAUGCAGCCCGUGGGAUCGAGGAUUGCAGCAAAUGCCUUUGGCUUGUCUUCUGAUCUUUGAUUGUUACCUCGUUUAUGACAACAUUCUUGCCAUCGAUGAGUACUAGUGGUUAUGGGUUAGAAUGAUCAAAAAUUUGCUAAGGAUGCUGACGUAAUGGCUUUAAACGACCCGUCUUGAAACACGGACCAAGGAGUCUAACAUAUGUGCGAGUGUUUGGGUGACAAACCCGGAACGCGUAAUGAAAGUGAAUAUGGGUGGGAUCCUCCUCGUGGGGAGCACCAUCAACCGAUCAGGAUAUUUUUUGAUAGAUUUGAGUAAGAGCACAUCUGUUGGGACCCGAAAGAUGGUGAACUAUGCCUGAAUAGGGUGAAGCCAGAGGAAACUCUGGU
rnacentral:rRNA from 1 species